GAGAGAGGAAGGGCGGCUGCCGGCCUUCGUUCGUAGAAGGCUGAGGAAAGUCCCCCCACCAUAAGGGCACGAAUGCCGAGAGGGCAUAAGGCGAGAGUCUUGGCACUGGUAUAGAAACGGUACCGUACCAUACUAAUGUGAUGAUUCCGUAAGGAUGAAGACGUAUGGUUGCGGAUGGAAUCGACCAACCUCGUGGGUGCAAGCCAAAAUAGGGCGCAAAGAUAAAUGCCGCGGAAACAGAAGGGGGCUUACUCUCCUCACUC
rnacentral:RNase_P_RNA from 1 species